AAGCAUAUCAAUAAGCGGAGGAAAAGAAACCAACAGGGAUUGCCCUAGUAACGGCGAGUGAAGCGGCAACAGCUCAAAUUUGAAAUCUGGCCUCGGCCCGAGUUGUAAUUUGCAGAGGAAGCUUUAGGCGCGGCACCUUCUGAGUCCCCUGGAACGGGGCGCCAUAGAGGGUGAGAGCCCCGUAUAGUUGGAUGCCUAGCCUGUGUAAAGCUCCUUCGACGAGUCGAGUAGUUUGGGAAUGCUGCUCAAAAUGGGAGGUAAAUUUCUUCUAAAGCUAAAUACCGGCCAGAGACCGAUAGCGCACAAGUAGAGUGAUCGAAAGAUGAAAAGCACUUUGAAAAGAGGGUUAAAUAGCACGUGAAAUUGUUGAAAGGGAAGCGCUUGUGACCAGACUUGCGCCGGGCUGAUCAUCCGGUGUUCUCACCGGUGCACUCGGCCCGGCUCAGGCCAGCAUCGGUUCUCGCGGGGGGAUAAAGGCCCUGGGAACGUAGCUCCUCCGGGAGUGUUAUAGCCCAGGGCGUAAUGCCCUCGCGGGGACCGAGGUUCGCGCAUCUGCAAGGAUGCUGGCGUAAUGGUCAUCAGCGACCCGUCUUGAAACACGGACCAAGGAGUCAAGGUUUUGCGCGAGUGUUUGGGUGUAAAACCCGCACGCGUAAUGAAAGUGAACGUAGGUGAGAGCUUCGGCGCAUCAUCGACCGAUCCUGAUGUUUUCGGAUGGAUUUGAGUAGGAGCGUUAAGCCUUGGACCCGAAAGAUGGUGAACUAUGCUUGGAUAGGGUGAAGCCAGAGGAAACUCUGGUGGAGGCUCGCAGCGGUUCUGACGUGCAAAUCGAUCGUCAAAUCUGAGCAUGGGGGCGAAAGACUAAUCGAACCAUCUAGUAGCUGGUUACCGCCGAA
rnacentral:rRNA from 1 species